rnacentral:rRNA from 1 species
AUUGAACGCUAGCGGGAUGCCUUACACAUGCAAGUCGAACGGAGUGGCGAACGGGUGAGUAAUGUCUCGGAACGUGCCCAGUAGCGGGGGAUAACUACGCGACAGCGUAGCUAAUACCGCAUACUAUUGGAGCGGCCGAUAUCGGAUUGGCUCGUUGGUUGUGUAACGGCUCACCAAGGCGACGAGCCGUAGCUGGUUUGCGAGGACGACCAGCCAAACUGGGACUGGGACACGGCCCAGACGCCUACGGGAGGCAGCAGUGGGGAAUGUUGGAAAAUGGGGGAAACCCGGAUCCAGCCAUCCCGCGUGUGCGAUGAAGGACUGCGGGUUGUAAAGCACUUUUGGCAGGAAAGCGGUACCUGCAGAAUAAGCACCGGCUAACUACGUGCCAGCAGCCGCGGUAAUAC